UGAUAGGAUUCGAGUCUAGACCUGCACUCUGUGGAUGAUACCUUGAGAAUCAGAUGCUGACACCAGUGUUCGACAUUGGAGGAUCCAGAAACAAACACCUUUCACCUGGCAUCACUUACAAGACAGCUGAGAAAGAAGACAGUUACAGAUGUGCUGACACUGCUAUUUUUCCGAGGAAGGUUUUCCAAUCUUGUGUCAGGUGUCUGAAGACAUCCGAUACUGACGUGCGGCAGUGUUGCUUUCCCCUGAAGUCUCAAUGACAACCUUGGCCUGGCCUGGUCAGACCCUUGGAAGGCUCCUGAAAACUGCCUGUCAGAUGUGCACACAUCAACACACCACCUGUUCUGGCAGGAAACCAAUUUUCUCUAUUUCUUCCUCCCUUGGGAAAUGUGCCUGCCUUUGGCAUCUGUCCCCACUUACCCUGCUUCAUACAUGAGACAAAGAAAUCACUUUGUUUAUCAAGCUGU